GAGUUUGAUCAUGGCUCAGGACGAACGCUGGCGGCGUGCCUAAUACAUGCAAGUAGAACGCUGAAGAGAGGAGCUUGCUCUUCUUGGAUGAGUUGCGAACGGGUGAGUAACGCGUAGGUAACCUGCCUUGUAGCGGGGGAUAACUAUUGGAAACGAUAGCUAAUACCGCAUAACAAUGGAUGACACAUGUCAUUUAUUUGAAAGGGGCAAUUGCUCCACUACAAGAUGGACCUGCGUUGUAUUAGCUAGUAGGUGAGGUAACGGCUCACCUAGGCGACGAUACAUAGCCGACCUGAGAGGGUGAUCGGCCACACUGGGACUGAGACACGGCCCAGACUCCUACGGGAGGCAGCAGUAGGGAAUCUUCGGCAAUGGGGGCAACCCUGACCGAGCAACGCCGCGUGAGUGAAGAAGGUUUUCGGAUCGUAAAGCUCUGUUGUAAGUCAAGAACGAGUGUGAGAGUGGAAAGUUCACACUGUGACGGUAGCUUACCAGAAAGGGACGGCUAACUACGUGCCAGCAGCCGCGGUAAUACGUAGGUCCCGAGCGUUGUCCGGAUUUAUUGGGCGUAAAGCGAGCGCAGGCGGUUUGAUAAGUCUGAAGUUAAAGGCUGUGGCUCAACCAUAGUUCGCUUUGGAAACUGUCAAACUUGAGUGCAGAAGGGGAGAGUGGAAUUCCAUGUGUAGCGGUGAAAUGCGUAGAUAUAUGGAGGAACACCGGUGGCGAAAGCGGCUCUCUGGUCUGUAACUGACGCUGAGGCUCGAAAGCGUGGGGAGCGAACAGGAUUAGAUACCCUGGUAGUCCACGCCGUAAACGAUGAGUGCUAGGUGUUGGAUCCUUUCCGGGAUUCAGUGCCGCAGCUAACGCAUUAAGCACUCCGCCUGGGGAGUACGACCGCAAGGUUGAAACUCAAAGGAAUUGACGGGGGCCCGCACAAGCGGUGGAGCAUGUGGUUUAAUUCGAAGCAACGCGAAGAACCUUACCAGGUCUUGAUAUCCCGAUGCUAUUUCUAGAGAUAGAAAGUUACUUCGGUACAUCGGUGACAGGUGGUGCAUGGUUGUCGUCAGCUCGUGUCGUGAGAUGUUGGGUUAAGUCCCGCAACGAGCGCAACCCCUAUUGUUAGUUGCCAUCAUUCAGUUGGGCACUCUAGCGAGACUGCCGGUAAUAAACCGGAGGAAGGUGGGGAUGACGUCAAAUCAUCAUGCCCCUUAUGACCUGGGCUACACACGUGCUACAAUGGUUGGUACAACGAGUUGCGAGUCGGUGACGGCAAGCUAAUCUCCUAAAGCCAAUCUCAGUUCGGAUUGUAGGCUGCAACUCGCCUACAUGAAGUCGGAAUCGCUAGUAAUCGCGGAUCAGCACGCCGCGGUGAAUACGUUCCCGGGCCUUGUACACACCGCCCGUC
rnacentral:rRNA from 1 species